UGGGACGCUGAUCAGACAGCGGGAAAUGCUCUGUGUUUAAAAUAAAUUUAUUUUCCCCCCACUUAACCGUGAAAGGGACCGUUGCGUAUCUCCACUUUAGGGAAUGUAAAUCGAGCACUCGUUAUGAACCGCUGAGCUGCAGAAAGGGAGAUGAAGGCAGCACUGCUAACUGCACCAAGUAAACUUAAUAAUAAAACAGAAAGCAGAUACAAACGCAGUAAGUAGGCGAAAGACGGGCUUUGCGGGUCGGGGUGGGGGCGAUAGUGGCAGAGGAUUUAACCAGCGAGCCCGGGAAAGGCCGAUUAAGCAAGCAGCCCCCGGCCGGCCUGCCCACCCCGCUUCGCUGUUUCAACUACACCUAGUUCGAAGAAAAUUACAUUUCAGACUCCAUCUGCUUUUGCGAGCAACUAUUACAGAUUUGCCACGAUUGAAAACCACCACCGCCGCACACGCGCCUCUUCUGCUCGCGUAUUUUACACUUUAUACAGAUCCCUAACAGCUGCAGCCCAGCCCUCGCUGGUGUUAUCCACCAGGUGUGCAGGAGCUACUUUAAAAAGAGCCGAGAGGGUUUUCUGUGUCCUGGAGCACUAAUAGCAGUCUUGUGCAUAUCAGCUCUGAAAAGUUACACACGUGAAGAUUUCUGAUGCGAAUGAUGAACUGAACGCUUAACGUUAACGUUACUGUUUUGCUCGGAUACUGUCCCUGAGAUUAAUAAAAAUUUAACAUAGCUUAUUUUAUAUGUAGACUGGUGGUAAGGAGGUCUCUCUUCCAGGCUUGUUAAGUAUUUGACCUGGCAAGUGUCACCUAGGAUUUUGAUAUUAAUCUAGGAAAUUUGCUUUUUUGUCCUAAUACAGAUUGAUUUAUGGACAUUAAUGUUUUUAGGUAAAAGGGACGCAUUGUUAUUUCCCCCCACCCCCACCCCCUCCCUGUUCUUACUAACUGGAUGGGUCGUGGAGUUGACAGCAGCCGCUGGUCCAUGCCACCGAACUAAAAUAAUUUCACAGUGAAAAACCAGCUCGAGAGGACAAGCAACAGAAGGGCAAAACCCAUCAAAACCUGAAACUCUGAUCAAUCUGACCAGAGUCAGGCAUACAUUAGUUUAAAUUAAACUGUUUCUUCUUUCUCACAGAUCUUUUUUGAACAUUAAACGCAUGUAAUAUUUAAAUCAACUCUUGUCAGAUGCUAAGUGGAACUAAAGAACUAAAAUAAAAAUGCGUUUCCAUCCCUUCUCAAAGGCUUAUGCUGGAUGCCACUUCGACAAAAUACUUCUGAUAAGCAACGCUUAGAAAAGAAAGGUUCUGUUUAUCUUAUCUACGGGGAAAUGUAAUGAUGCUCGUUUCAUGAAACAAUAAAACACCGAACUCCACAGACAGCAAAGGAGUUUCUGUAAUAUAUCUGAGCUUAUAUGGGCAUAUGUAUCUUGGUUUAUUCGUACAUGUCCACUCCAAACACAUACGUAUAAUUUUGCUUGCCUGAUUUUAGAAUGCAAAACGUAAGCUAGAGCUAAAAUACCGGGAUGCCGUAAAGACGGGAAAAUUUUCCGCAGUGAUAAGAGGCUCCAUUUUCUAAGAGCGGGAAGUCACCCGCUGCCCAUCGCUGUCUCUGAAGGUACCCUCCUAGCAGCCAGCAAGAUCAACCAGGUGCUGCUGCUGCAAAAAUCCCACCUCUGGCCGCUUGUUCUGUGCGUGUGUGCGUGCAGAGCAAUGCACAGACUUUGUUCUCUCUACAUGUCUGAAAUUCAUCAUCCGCUCCCCCCUUGCCUCCACCCCAUCCCCUAUGUGAAAGUAAAUCCGUUCAGGCUUUGAAUAUUGUAAGAAACCUUGUGUGUAUUUUUUUUAAAUCUUCAAAUGAAUUAAAGACAACCUGACAAUGCUGUCAUCUGUCUUCAACGUCACAUCAAGGCAUGAAAUAAUGAUAACAGAGCAGCAGAAAGACGCCCACUGAAACCUGGAGGAUAUAUAUACACAUAUACAGACACACAUAUAUGUCUUGAAACAGCUUGAAAGAGAACAAAAUUAGAUUACGGUUCUUAGGCUAUCACAGUAAGAACGUGGGAGGUUUUUUCUGGGGUUGUUUUUUGUUGGCCAAGUGCUUCAUCUUUCCUGCUUGACUUCGUGAAGCGUGUGCUCCUUGAUCCAAACCACUUCUGUGGGAUGGGGUAAGACAACGAGCAGGCACAUUCUUUGCUCCUAAACUACU